rnacentral:piRNA from 1 species
ACCAUGUUUUUCUCGUUGGCCAUGG